rnacentral:lncRNA from 1 species
GGAGGUACCCAACUGAGUAUGCAGCGUAUCUCUGUCGAGCUCAAUCAGGCUCUCACAAGCCAAAGUCAAGUAAUAGGGUCCAACUGGUCUAACAGCCAACAGGUCACGUGCCCCCAGCACAAUCUGACGCCCAAAACAGCGAUAUGGGUCCACCGUCAACCCCGACGGCACCCAACAGUCCGGAACAGUCUGAACGCUACUGUAAAAAUACACUCGACAUCCCAGCACGAGUGUAACAGCUA